UGUAUAGAACAUGUAAUAAGAAAAAAAGGAAAAGAGACUAAAUGUUCUUAAAUGGUCUACUCAUGGAGCAAGAUUCCUUGUAGGAGUUACCUUGGAAAAGAUGAAGAGAAACCAGCUUUUUCUGAGGAAGCACAUUAUUCAACAUUAUUAAAGACAGAUUUCCAAAGAUGGCGCUGAAACGUUUAAUUGCUUGUGCGUUUGUAAACAAAACAUUCAGAUUAUCGUGCAUUGAAGAUAGUGUUUAGUGUGAAUUUGGUUGUAUUCUUUCUGGAAUUUUGGUUCCAUGGAGAAGGACAGGCUUCAGGGUCAUUUCUGAUAACAACCUGAAAGCCCAAGUUGAGAAUUAUGUAAAAAAGUA